UCUUCCGUAGUAUAGUGGUCAGUAUGCAAUCUUGUCAAGUACAGUUCGCUUGAGACCCGGGUUCAAUUCCCGGCGGGAGAG